GACGAACGCUGGCGGCGUGCCUAAUACAUGCAAGUCGAACGCAGUGGGGACGGGUGAGUAACACGUGGGUAACCUCCCAUCAGAGGGGAUAACACUUGGAAACAGGUGCUAAACCGAUAAUGCUGGAUGGAGCCGCGGUGCAUUAGCUAGUUGGUGAGGUAACGGCUCACCAAGGCGACGAUGCAUAGACGACCUGAGAGGAUGAUCAGCCACACUGGGACCGAUACACGUCCCAGACUCCUACGGGAGGCAGCAGUAGGGAAUCUUCGGCAAUGGACGAAAGUCUGACCGAGCAACGCCGCGUGAGUGAAGAAGGUUUUCGGAUCGUAAAGCUCUGUUGUUAGAGAAGCGGUAUCUAACCAGAAAGCCACGUCUAACUACGUGCCAGCAGCCGCGGUAAUAC
rnacentral:rRNA from 1 species